CCAGUCUGCUUUGUUGUUGAGAGUCAGAUGGAGGAGCAUUUGUGCUAAGCAGAAAAGUACCACUGCAGAAGGCUCAGCAACACCGGCUGCAACCAAGUGGUGGAUUGAGGAUAACCAGAAUCUUUGGUGGGAACAAAAGCCUUUGGCUUUUUAAAGACAACCCAGAGCCUUCUGUACCUUUGAGCAUCCCAGCAGGAGUUCCCAGCACCAAUGUGAUGAAACUUCUUUGGAGAACAAAAUGGACAGUGGUGGAUUUGGUGCAGGACAAGGGGACUGUAGAAACCAGCAGUUCAAAAUAGGUACCAUUUAUGACUACAAAAGAGGACAUAACCACUGCACCUGCCCUGCCAAUUCUUGCACUGAUCAUGUCUACUGCAGUGGAUCAAGCUGUUAUUUUGUUCUGCUGAAGACAGGAAAAAAGAAUAAGGCAAGGGACCAAUGGAGCUCCAGAAAAUGGCCUUCAAGGCAGAGGAGAAGUGCCCGUGUGAUGUGGAACUGAAAGCAUCAGGAGGAGGAACAGCAGCAGAAGCAGCUUAGAGUACAUCUCAAGAUGAUAAAUGUAAAGUUAUUUCUAUCUUCAGUCUGGAAGAUGCAGAUCAAGCAAUUAAAAAAGAAGUAGACACAGUGAAUUUCUUAAAAAGAGCCCCUAUCUGUAUAGCAGAUUUAAUUAUAAUUCUGUGCACUCAUCAUAAAUUAAACCUCAUAACAGAUUACUAUAAAGAAGGUUUCUUAAAAACCUUAUAAUUCUCUUCCAGAGGCAGUAUUCUGCUAUUCAUAAGUAGAUUGUAAUGUGCUGCUUUUUCAUUAACGCACUCUAGAAAAAUGCACUCUUUGAAUUAUACACUACUAUUAAUCCCAGAGCCAUCCAUUGUCAUUGGAAUCAUUUUCCAGCACAUAUAUUAAAUUUGCAGUACAAGGUUCCUGUAAAAUAUGGGAAGUCUGUAAUGAACCAUGAGAAAAUAUUGCCCUUCAUCAAUGGGUAUUCAUAUCUGUUUCUAUUCAAACAUUUUGCAUUGGGUUUGUUUUAUAUAUAGCAUGUCUUUAAGGGAGGAAAUUGGAAACCCUUAAGGUAUAUUUCACAACUUUAUGUACAGUGGCUGAGCCAGGGAACUGAGUGUCCCGGGAAUGACAACAAAAGAUUCCACAUACAAUUUCAUGGGGCUCUGAGGAGAAAGGCAGGAAUUCAGGAAACAUGUGUCAGAUCUCUAGAGAAAAGUUCAUACAAUAGUGCACAAAAAAAAAGAAUGGAUACACGGCUGUAUAUUUAAUCCUAUGGUACUUAUGAAUCAAAGCAAAGCUCAAAAAACUCUGCUAAUUUUGACAUCACCAAUAUUUUUGUU
rnacentral:lncRNA from 11 species